UGGUGGAGUGAUUUGUCUGGUUAAUUCCGUUAACGAACGAGACCUCGACUUACUAACUAGUUUGCCAAACCCUUGGGUUUGCGUAAGCUUCUUAGAAGGACUAUCGGUUUUCGCCGACGGAAGCUCGAGGCAAUAACA
rnacentral:rRNA from 1 species